rnacentral:rRNA from 1 species
GACGAACCGUCCAAACGUUAUUCGGAAUUACUGGGCUUAAAGGGUGCGUAGGCGGCUCUGCAAGUUGGGUGUGAAAUCCCUCGGCUCAACCGAGGAAUGGCGCCCAAAACUGUGGAGCUCGAGGGAGACAGAGGUGAGUGGAACUUGUGGUGGAGCGGUGAAAUGCGUUGAUAUCACAAGGAACACCGGUGGCGAAAGCGGCUCACUGGGUCUCUUCUGACGCUGAGGCACGAAGGCGUGGGGAUCAAACAGGAUUAGAUACCCGGGUAGUCCCUGA